rnacentral:piRNA from 1 species
UCUUGGUGGUCGUAAAGGAGGGAGA